UAUGUUAAUUUGAAAACAUUGUACGAGCUAAAACAGUCUAGAAAAAUGAGUAUUAUUGAGAAAGUAGGCAUGUUUCUCUAUACUUUAGCUCUAGAAUCUUUAAACAUGAAAGUUCAGGAGAGAUUUCAACAUUCAAGAGAAACCGUAAGCAGAUAUUUCAAGAAGUUCUUAGGUCAGUAUGCUUGCUAACUGUUGAUUUUAUCAAAUCAGUAGAUUUAGAAUUCACAACAACACCAAUAAAAAUUGCAAUAAAUCCAAGAUAUAUGCCACAUUUCAAGAAUUGUAUUAGCGCGAUUGAUGGAAUACAUAUACGUGUUUAUGCAUCAAAAGCAAAUCAAAUACCAUUUAUUGGUAGAAAAGGUGUACCAACUCAAAAUAUAAUGGAAGCAUGUAGUUUUAACAUGCAAUUUACAUUUAUUUGGGUUGGGUGAGAAGGUAGUGCGCAUGAUAUAAGAAUAUUUCAUGAAGCGAUUGACAAUUCAAAUAUAAGAUUUUCGAAGCCACUACAAGGUAUUGCGAAAUAAAAAAUUUGGAUGUUGUUCCAUUUGAAUAAAUUUAUUUUGUGUCUGCAAUAGGAAAUAAGUUUUG